UACGUAGGUGGCAAGCGUUGUCCGGAUUUACUGGGUGUAAAGGGCGUGCAGCCGGAGAGACAAGUCAGAUGUGAAAUCCACGGGCUCAACCCGUGAACUGCAUUUGAACUGUUUCCCUUGAGUGUCGGAGAGGUAAUCGGAAUUCCUUGUGUAGCGGUGAAAUGCGUAGAUAUAAGGAAGAACACCAGUGGCGAAGGCGGAUUACUGGACGAUAACUGACGGUGAGGCGCGAAAGCGUGGGGAGCAAACAGGG
rnacentral:rRNA from 1 species